CAGCAGCCACGGUAAUACGGAGGAUCCAAGCGUUAUCCGGAAUCAUUGGGUUUAAAGGGUCCGUAGGCGGUCUUGUAAGUCAGUGGUGAAAGCCCAUCGCUCAACGGUGGAACGGCCAUUGAUACUGCAGGACUUGAAUUAUUGGGAAGUAACUAGAAUAUGUAGUGUAGCGGUGAAAUGCUUAGAGAUUACAUGGAAUACCAAUUGCGAAGGCAGGUUACUACCAAUUGAUUGACGCUGAUGGACGAAAGCGUGGGUAGCGAACAGGAUUAGAUACCCGAGUAGUCCCUGUCUCUUAUAC
rnacentral:rRNA from 1 species